rnacentral:rRNA from 1 species
GUCUUCUUGGAUAUAUAAGAAGUCUGACCUGCCCGGUGAAUAAGUAUUUAACGGCCGCGGUAUUUUGACCGUGCAAAGGUAGCAUAAUCAUUAGUCUUUUAAUAGAGGGCUGGAAUGAAGGGUUUGACGAAAUGCUUACUGUCUCAUUUAAUUUGAAAUUUGAAUUUGACUUUUUAGUUAAAAGGCUAAAUUGUUAUUGGAAGACGAGAAGACCCUAUAGAGCUUUAUAUUUUAAAAUUUAAGAAAUUUUUGUUUAAUUAUUAUUUUUUAAAUGGAAGAGUAUUUUGUUGGGGUGACAAAAAUAUAUAAUAAACUUUUUUAUUUAAAUAACAUUGAUAUAUGAAUAUUAGAUCCAUUAUUAUUGAUUGUUAGAGAAAGUUACCUUAGGGAUAACAGCGUAAUCUUCCUCCAGAGUUCAAAUUUACAGGGAGGCUUGCGACCUCGAUGUUGGAUUAAGAUAAUAAUUAGGUGCAGCCGCUUAAUUAAUAGGUCUGUUCGACCUUUAAAUUCUU